AACCACUAGGCUACCUGCCUCUAACCACUAGGCUACCCUGCCUCUAACCACUAGGCUACCUGCCUCUAACCACUAGGCUACCCUGCCUCUAACCACUAGGCUACCUGCCUCUAACCACUAGGCUACCCUGCCUCUAACCACUAGGCUACCCUGCCUCUAACCACUAGGCUACCUGCCUCUAACCACUAGGCUACCUGCCUCUAACCACUAGGCUACCCUGCCUCUAACCACUAGGCUACCCUGCCUCUAACCACUAGGCUACCUGCCUCUAACCACUAGGCUACCUGCCUCUAACCACUAGGCUACCUGCCUCUAACCACUAGGCUACCCUGCCUCUAACCACUAGGCUACCUGCCUCUAACCACUAGGCUACCUGCCUCUAACCACUAGGCUACCUGCCCGCUCUAAUGCUUUGGAUAGAAUUCAAACAACUGUGAUUCUAGGAACUGUUAUGCACCAAUCAAAGAGCGGUUGUCAUGACACCCUUUCUGUUUGGCGAUCCAACCACAGGUCUUUAGAUGGCGUGGAGGCCAUAGAGGAGAUUGUUGAACCACAGGUCUUUAGAUGGCGUGGAGAACCAUAGAGGAGAUUGUUGAACCACAGGUCUUUAGAUGGCGUGGAGGCCAUAGAGGAGAUUGUUGAACCACAGGUCUUUAGAUGGCGUGGAGAACCAUAGAGGAGAUUGUUGAACCACAGGUCUUUAGAUGGCGUGGAGAACCAUAGAGGAGAUUGUUGAACCACAGGUCUUUAGAUGGCGUGGAGAACCAUAGAGGAGAUUGUUGAACCACAGGUCUUUAGAUGGCGUGGAGAACCAUAGAGGAGAUUGUUGAACCACAGGUCUUUAGAUGGCGUGGAGGCCAUAGAGGAGAUUGUUGAACCACAUGUCUUCAGAUGGCGUGUUAGAUGCCAUAGAGGAGAUUGUUGAACCACAGGUCUUCAGAUGGCGUGGAGGCCAUAGAGGAGAUUGUUGAACCACAGGUCUUCAGAUGGCGUGGAGGCCAUAGAGGAGAUUGUUGAACCACAGGUCUUUAGAUGGCGUGGAGGCCAUAGAGGAGAUUGUUGAACCACAGGUCUUUAGAUGGCGUGGAGAACCAUAGAGGAGAUUGUUGAACCACAGGUCUUUAGAUGGCGUGGAGAACCAUAGAGGAGAUUGUUGAACCACAGGUCUUUAGAUGGCGUAGAGGCCAUAGAGGAGAUUGUUGAACCACAGGUCUUUAGAUGGCGUGGAGGCCAUAGAGGAGAUUGUUGAACCACAGGUCUUUAGAUGGCGUGGAGAACCAUAGAGGAGAUUGUUGAACCACAGGUCUUUAGAUGGCGUGGAGAACCAUAGAGGAAAUUGUUGAACCACAGGUCUUUAGAUGGCGUG